UACAUGGGGUGCAAACGUUGCUCGGAAUUAUUGGGCGUAAAGCGCACGUAGGCGGUUCGUUAAGUCGGAUGUGAAAGCCCUCGGCUCAACUGAGGAAGUGCACCCGAAACUGGCGAGCUUGAGUACGAAAGAGGAUCGCGGAAUUCCCGGUGUAGAGGUGAAAUUCGUAGAUAUUGGGAAGAACACCGGUGGCGAAGGCGGCUCACUGGCUCAUUACUGACGCUCGAGGCGCGAUAGCGUGGGGAUCAAACAGG
rnacentral:rRNA from 1 species